CCAACCAACCGUUUUCUGGGAAUAACUUCAUGUUUUCUGCUGUCUGGAAAAUGAACCGUUUCAAAAUUCUCCCGAGUGUCGAGUCAAACUGCGCCGUUACCUAGCAACCCCAGCCAGCCCAGGCCGUCGCCUAGCAACCAAAGCAGAACGAGAGAAAUGUUUUGCUGUUCACUUACCAUCCAGAAACUACUUGAAGCAAAAACUAAAGCUUUUCACAGAUGCACGGUGGUAUAAUUGCGCUUCUGUUUGCAGCAGUUCUCACGAGAGUGUAAACGUCGAGUUGGCCAAAAGCAGCUGAUUUGGAUUUAAAGUGACGAGACGCCCUAAAACGGCUGAAAUCUCAUAAUCUAAAAAUGAUUUUGUGCAAAAAAAAAAAAAAAAAAAAAGUAAUGAACUUGUUUUGCGCUGCCUCGCCUCUCCUGCUGCGACCCUCACCAGAAACAUCCAGGCUGAAAAACAGAAGCGAGUCGCAGGAAGGGAAGCUGAGCUAACCUGCUGCAAAGGCCCUGAACCUCAGUCUCUUCGACUGCGUUACCAAAAAGCUGCUUCCCAGCUAAUUCAAUUAAUAGGCCAAUUUCUGCUGUGAUCUCAGAAACACACUCAGCAGUGCUGGGUAAUUUAAUUUCUCUACAGCAUGAUGUAAUCUGCCCUCAAUGUUAAAAGAAAGCAAUCAGCUUACCCAAAGUCACGCUAACGCUAAUUCACUUUCUGGGCUCACACUCGAGUUUCUGUCCUCUUAGUCGCAUGUUCACAGGGUUUCACAGAAGUAUUUAUGCUGCUUCUACCUGUUCACGUUACAGCAGGAUAAAUAAAGGACUCUGCUGUGUUUAAAAAGCAAAAAAAAAGAAUAAUGAAUACUUUGUGUGUAUUAAAAAUGACAGUUUCAAACAUUUAUUUCAAAUAAUGUGAAAACCGUGGUGAUCCUUUUUGCACAUCUAGACACUGAAACUUUUGCUGUUUCUACUUCACAGAAUGUAAAAUGCUAUUUUCUAUUAGAUAAGGGUUUGGGCUUUGACUGGGCCAUUCUAAUACAUGAACAUGUUUUAAUGUAAAUCAGCUUUGGCUGCAUGUUUUGGUCUUAAAUCUUCUGCAGCUUCUUGGUUCCAUGUUUCCAUCAAAUCAGACCAGCUUCUCUGAUCCUGCUGGAGAAACGAACCCCCACAGCAUGACGCUACCACUGCCAUGUUUUAAACAUGGGGAUGGGACGGUUUGUUCAGGUUUCUUUACAUCACGUCCUUUUCCUGCAGCAGUCAGUGUAACGGGGCGAGCAGCCGGAUCCAGGAAAUACCCGAGUGUUUUGAUUGAAAGGCCGUCGAUGUUUUUAAAGAAGUCCUUCCUGAAUUCGUGAAUUUGUUGAGACGGUUUUCAAACAUCCUGCAAGUCUGAAGACAUCAUGUUGGUGCAAACCUUUUGCUUCUUUCAGCGUUUAAGCGUUUAACAACUUAGCGAUCUAGCUCAAGCUUACUAUUUUAGUCCUGUGUUAAUAAAUAUUAACAUUUCAUUUGUUAAUAAUGUAAUGUCCCAUUUUUACAGUAAAGCACAGUGCUGCCUUUACUGUGCUGAUCUGCUCAGGUUUCCCUGCACCAGCAUUAGCGUUAGCAUUAGCAUUGUUUUUCUGCAGCAACAGAGGAGGAAAGUAGAUGCAUCUGGGCUGCUUUGGAGAAACUCCAAGUUUUCUUCUCUUUCUUCCAAGAUGGAUUACUACACACACUCACACACACGAAACAAUUAA